rnacentral:rRNA from 1 species
CCUACGGGAGGCAGCAGUGGGGAAUAUUGCACAAUGGGGGAAACCCUGAUGCAGCGACGCCGCGUGAGUGAAGAAGUAUCUCGGUACGUAAAGCUCUAUCAGCAGGGAAGAAAAUGACGGUACCUGACUAUGAAGCCCCGGCUAACUACGUGCCAGCAGCCGCGGUAAUACGGAGGAUGCGAGCGUUAUCCGGAUUUAUUGGGUUUAAAGGGUGCGCAGGCGGAAGAUCAAGUCAGCGGUAAAAUCGAGAGGCUGAACCUCUUCGGGCCGUUGAGACUGGUUUGCGUGAGUGAGCGAGAAGUAGGCGGAAUGCGUGGUGUAGCGGUGAAAUGCAUAGAGAUCACGCAGAACGCCGAUGGGGAAGGCAGCAUACCGGCGCUCGACUGAUGCUCAGGCGCGAAAGUGUGGGUAUCGAACAGGAUUAGAGAGCCCAGUAGUG